UGCAGAGGUCUCAAGCGUUGUUCGGAUUCAUUGGGCGUAAAGGGUGCGUAGGUGGCGCCGUAAGUGGGGUGUGAAAUUUCGGAGCUUAACUCCGAAACUGCAUUCCAUACUGCGGUGCUUGAGGACUGGAGAGGAGACUGGAAUUCAUGGUGUAGCAGUGAAAUGCGUAGAGAUCAUGAGGAAGACCAGUGGCGAAGGCGGGUCUCUGGACAGUUCCUGACACUGAGGCACGAAGGCUAGGGGAGCGAACGGG
rnacentral:rRNA from 1 species